AGUGAACGCUGGCGGUAGGCCUAACACAUGCAAGUCGAACGGCAGCACAGUAAGAGCUUGCUCUUACGGGUGGCGAGUGGCGGACGGGUGAGGAAUACAUCGGAAUCUACUUUUUCGUGGGGGAUAACGUUGGGAAACUUACGCUAAUACCGCAUACGACCUACGGGUGAAAGCAGGGGAUCUUCGGACCUUGCGCGAUUGAAUGAGCCGAUGUCGGAUUAGCUAGUUGGCGGGGUAAAGGCCCACCAAGGCGACGAUCCGUAGCUGGUCUGAGAGGAUGAUCAGCCACACUGGAACUGAGACACGGUCCAGACUCCUACGGGAGGCAGCAGUAGGGAAUAUUGGACAAUGGGCGCAAGCCUGAUCCAGCCAUACCGCGUGGGUGAAGAAGGCCUUCGGGUUGUAAAGCCCUUUUGUUGGGAAAGAAAAGCAGCAGGUUAAUACCCCGCUGUUCUGACGGUACCCAAAGAAUAAGCACCGGCUAACUUCGUG
rnacentral:rRNA from 1 species